rnacentral:rRNA from 1 species
UAUGUGAUCGUCUCUCGCAUAUCAAUAAGCGGAGGAAAAGAAACUAACAAGGAUUCCCCUAGUAACGGCGAGUGAAGCGGGAAGAGCUCAAAUUUGAAAUCUUAAAGGGUUUCCCUUUACGAAUUGUAGUUUAAAGAAGUGUUUUCUGUUGAGGUUUUGGUAAAAGUUCUUUGGAAUAGGACAUCAUAGAGGGUGAGAAUCCCGUAUUUGACCUUUACUUUCAACUUUGUGAUACACUUUCAAAGAGUCGGAUUGUUUAGGAAUGCAGUCCAAAAUGGGUGGUAAAUUUCAUCUAAAGCUAAAUAUUGGCGAGAGACCGAUAGCGAACAAGUACCGUGAGGGAAAGAUGAAAAGAACUUUGAAAAGAGAGUUAAACAGUACGUGAAAUUGUCAAAAGGGAAGCGUUUGACACCAGUGUUGUUUUUCUGAAAAUCAAUUAAAGAACUGUUUAUGCUAAGCUGUUUAGACUUUAUCAGCUAUCUGUUUAGUUUUGAGCUUUUCUUUAAUGCACUUUUCAGUUAACAAGUCAACAUCAAUUUCUUUUGCUGUAAAAAAGCUUGAGGAAGGUGGCUUGAGAUUCGUCUUAAGUGUUUAUAGCCUCUUGCCUAUGCAGUCGGAGAGAUUGAGGUCUGCAGCGUAGAUCCUUCGGGGCUAAAUGCAUUUGUGCUAAGUUAUAGCAUUUUAUAGACAACUUGUUGACUAUGAUUUGUCUUGUAGCUUACUCGCUUAUGUUAUUUUACCUACGCUUAGGAUGUUGAUCUCUCACAGUCGAGC